AACGCAACUUGCGCCCUUUGGUAUUCCGAAGGGCAUGCCUGUUUGAGUGUCAUGAAACUCUCAAUCCCUCUGGUUUAUGAUCAGAGGUGUAUUGGAUUUGGGUGUUGCCGUGUGAGCGGCUCGCCUUAAAAGUGUCAGUGGGAACAAUCGUCUCACGCCGAACGUAAUAAGUUUCGUUUGGUACGGUGAUUGGGCUUGCUUACAACCCGGCUUCGGCCAAUUACUUUUAUUCUGACCUCAAAUCAGGUAGGACUACCCGCUGAACUUAA
rnacentral:misc_RNA from 1 species